UACGAACGCUGGCGGCGUGCUUAACACAUGCAAGUCGAACGAGAAGAGAUGAGAAGCUUGCUUCUUAUCAAUUCGAGUGGCAAACGGGUGAGUAACGCGUAAGCAACCUGCCCUUCAGAUGGGGACAACAGCUGGAAACGGCUGCUAAUACCGAAUACGUUCUUUUUGUCGCAUGGCAGAGGGAAGAAAGGGAGGCUCUUCGGAGCUUUCGCUGAAGGAGGGGCUUGCGUCUGAUUAGCUAGUUGGUAAGGUAACGGCUUACCAAGGCAACGAUCAGUAGCCGACCUGAGAGGGUGACCGGCCACAUUGGGACUGAGACACGGCCCAA
rnacentral:rRNA from 1 species